AAAGCAGAGGCUUAUACGUACUUAGGAAACAUUGUUUUUGGGAUUUAUACAGACUUUGUUGGAGCAUUACAUUUGGUGUGGAUGACUGUAUAUUCACUUUUUUAUCUUCAGUUGAAGGUGUUGUUCUGAGUUAAUGUAAUCUACCAUUUAUAUGUCAACUGUGUAACUCAUUAAAAAACCAAAGGAAAGUAAUUAGGAAUCUCCCAAUCCAUGAAAUGACGAAUAAGAAUUCGUCAAAGCCUUUAAUAUGGUCUCCACCAUUGGAUUUUGAAAAUGCAUCAGCCUCCACCGGAGCUAGUCACAAGCCCUCUGCUCCGUCCCUCAUAUUCUCAAACUACCUUUUUUUGCAACAUCUCUUCCUAUCCAACCAUGGUUGGAAUUGCGGUGAAGAAAGCAUACGCAUAAAAGAAGAGAAAGGGAAGGAACGCUCAAAAACAUCGUCAAAGAUUCAUACCUGUAAAACAUGUGGCAAAAACUUUCCACGUAACGCCAAUCUAACUCGACAUAUACGAAUCCAUACUGGAGAGCGUCCGUAUUCCUGCACACUCUGCAAUCGGUCCUUCUCCAUUUCUUCGAAUCUUCAAAGGCAUAUGCGAAACAUCCAUAAAAACCCUUCCACUCCCGACCAAAUGCUCAGCUCCCAGCAUCAUUAAUUACGAUAAUAAUAGCUCCAUGUGAUUUUGAAUGAAUACAAUAUCUACUCUUCUUGUUUUUGCUUUUGUCUGAGGGGGUUCGUCAAAAGGAGUAUCACGUGUGUACCUCUCAUGAUGAUAACAUCAGCUCUGAUAUCUAUCGCUGUCACAGGGAGAAAGAACUUUAGUCAUAUGUUACUAUGAACUAUAUAUAACAGUAUAUGCUAUUAUAUUAAAGCAUCUGAUUGCGGUCUAUGAACUUAUAUUUAUUGUUAUGGAUAAAUAUUGUGAGAUGUUUUGAGGAUAUUAAAAGUCAUGUUAUCUCCAAUUAACGAGCUUUUGGACCUCCAGCAAAUUUAAUAAUGUAUCAUGUGUCAUUCUUUACAACUUUGUGUAUAACAUUUUCAUUCAUUUCUGAUUGAUAUAUUAAUAUUUGGUCUAUCAAAUUGUAUCAUUAAAAACAUCCUAGGUGUACCGAAUAAAAGAUUUUUUUUUU
rnacentral:lncRNA from 1 species